rnacentral:SRP_RNA from 2 species
GCCGGGCGUGGUGGCGGGCGCCUGUAAUCCCAGCUACUUGGGAGGCUGAGGCAGGAGAAUCGCUUGAACCCGGGAGGUGGAGGUUGCAGUGAGCUGAUAUCAUGCCACUGUACUCCAGCCUGAACUACAGAGUGAGACUCUGUCUCAA